CGAGAGCACGAGAGCACGAGAGAGAGAGGAGAGAGAGAGAGAGAGAGAGAGAGAGAGAAGUGUUGAGAUGGCAAGAGAGCUCGUGCAAAUUUCUAUUGAGCUCAUCUUUUACGCAUGGAUGAAAUCUCCUGCCGUCAAUCGCCAAUGAGCUCAGGGAUCGAGGAGACUGAAUCCUAGCACUCAAAAGGUUCGAUCCAAUGAGCUAUAUUUCUUGGAGUUGUCGCCUUGGGAUCGCUGGACUCGGCGGAGUACAAAAUGGGCCAGAUCGACCGUUGGACCCAGCGGGAUACAAAUAGGGCCUGAUCGGCCGCUGGACCCGACGGAAUAGAAAAAAGGGGCCUGAUCGGCCGCUAAGACCCGGCGGAAUGCAAAGUGAGGUCAACUCUUACCACCAGAGGUUAAUAGGCGGCCAUCGCUUAUGAGAUGUGGAUAUUGGAAGUUGAGAAUGGUAUGAGCGAGAUGUGCAGGGUCACGGUACCGUCAUAACUCUGUUGCGAGGAAAUGCAACCCUAUGGCUAUAUUGAUUUGGUUG